CCGCCCGCCGCGCCGCCGCCGCCACCCGCCGGUGCUCCAGGUACGCGAAGAGGCUCUGCGCCACCAGGUGCGCCGAGAGGAAGGCCCCGUACAGACCGAAGGCGAGGAGGCCGUAGCGAUCGGAGGCCAGCGGCACCCCGGCGGCGUAGGCCCAGGUCAUGAGGCCCAGGAUGAGCAGCGCGAACGUGACGGGACAUCUCCUGCACCGCUGGUGCUCCAGGCUCUUGGCUGGGUGAUGCCAGGCCCACAGAGAUGACUCAGACCUGGGCCCUGCCCUUGAGGAGAUGCCAAUCUUGGGGAGGAGACAGCUGUGUAAACAGAGGAUCAAAGACCAGUGCAUGGAUGCACCAACCCCGCUGGAGAGUCAGGGAGGGCUUCGUGGUGGAGGUGAUGUCCUGGAGGAGCAGAGUCUUGACUGAUGGGAAAUUAGCCAAGGUGUCCCACCUGCAGACCAGCAGAGCCCACGACCCCACUAUGUGCAUGGACGGGACUGGGCUGGCCAUGGAGCAAAUCUCCGGGCCCCGGCCUCCUCGUGUCUGGAGGAGAGUGAAGAUCCUGCCUACUCCAGGCUAUUUCGAGGUGCUCGGACAAGUUUAGGGAGCAGACGGCGUGCAGCAGAGAUGGUGCGUCGAGGAGAGUUGCCCCUGUGGGCUCCAGACGGAGGAAGUCAGAGGAGCAGAUGAUGAGUGAUGUUGAGCAUUUUUUCACGUGUCUGUUCAACCAUCUGGACGUCUUCUUUGGAGAAGUGUCUAUUCAGAGAACAUUUACUUUUAUUU